ensembl:lincRNA
GCCCAACCCUGCCUGUAUAGCCAGCAAGAAUUCUAAUUAUAGCAAACAGAAACACUUGCAGAAAAAAAAAAAAAAAAUGAGAACGGGAACAUGACAAUUUUCAAAGAAAGAGUCUUUCUUUCAAGGAAAUUCAGGUUCAUGGUUACGAAGCUGCUGACCCCAGGAUCCCAGCCCGUGGGAGAGAAGGGGGUCUCUGACAGCCCCCACCCCUCCCCACUGCCAGAUCCUUAUUGGGUCUGAGUUUCAGGGGUGGGGCCCCAGCUGGAGGUUAUAAAACAGCUCAAUCGGGGAGUAGAACCUUUGGUUUCUCUUCGGGGAAAGCUGCUUUCAGCGCACAAGGGAAGACAUCAGAAACAUCCUAGGAUCAGGACACCCCAGAUCUUCUCAACUGGAACCACGAAGGCUGUUUCUUCCACACAGCACUUUGAUCUCCAUUUAAGCAGGCACCUCUGUCCUGCGUUCCGGAGCUGCGUUCCCGAUGGUCCUCCUUUGGCUCACGCUGCUCCUGAUCGCCAUGCCCUGUCUCCUGCAAACGAAGGAAGAUCCAAACCCACCAAUCACGAACCUAAGGAUGAAAGCAAAGGCUCAGCAGUUGACCUGGGACCUUAACAGAAAUGUGACCGAUAUCGAGUGUGUUAAAGACGCCGACUAUUCUAUGCCGGUAAAUCAUACUCUCUAUUGUUUUUUAUUUUUAUUUUAUUUAUUUACUUAUUUAUUUAUUUAUUUAUUUAUUUAUUUAUUUAUUUAUUUAUUGAGACGGAGUCUUGCUCUGUCGCCCAGGCUGGACUGCGGUGACCCGAUCUCCGCUCUCUGCAACCUCCACCUCCCAGGUCCAUGCCAUUCUCCUGCCUCAACCUCCCGAGUAGCUGGGACUACAGGCGCCCGCCACCACGCCCGGCUAAUUUUUUUGUAUUUUUAGUAGAGAUGGGGUUUCACUGUGUUAGCCAGGAGGGUCUCGAUCUCCUGACCUCGUGAUCUGCCCGCCUCGGCCUCCCAAAGUGCUGGGAUUACAGGCGUGAGCCACCGCGCAUGGCCCAGACUCUCUAAUGUUGACGAACAAGACGUUUCCGUCUUCUGCAGGAAUCUCAGAACCAAUACUGCUCCCAUCGCUGGUGUCAUGACUACCUGGUUUCUGCCCCGAAGUCAGCUGUGGGAUUUGAAGUGACUUUGGAGGGUCUGGUUCCCCGUCCGCGGGAUAUCUAAGAUGGCACACACUGGACAGGGUGGAUGUGAAAGUGAAAUGAGGCUAAGCUAUGACUGGUGCGAAACCCAACCCCACGCUGGGCAUGGUAGCUCACGUCUGUAAUCCCAGCACUUUGGGAGGCUGAGGCGGGUGGAUCACCAGAGGUCAGGAGUUCGAGACCAGCCUGGCCAACACGGUGAAACGCUGUCUCUGCUAAAAAUACGAAAGUUAGCCGGGCACAGUGGCUCACACCUGUAAUCCCAGCACUUUGAGAGGCUGAGGCGGAUGGAUCACCUGGGGCCAGGAGUUCGAGACUAGUCUGGGCAACAUGGUGAAACCCCGCCUCCACUAAAAAUAUAAAAAUUAGCCGGGCAUGGUGGUGGGCACCUGUAAUCCCAGUUACUUGGGAGGCUGAGGCAGGAGAAUUGCUUGAAUCCGGGAGGCGGAGGUUGCAUUGAGCCGAGACUGUGCCACUGCACUCCAGCCUGGGGGACAAGAGCAAGACUUCAUCUCAAAAAAUAAAAGAAAAUUAGCCAGAUGUGGUGGCACAUGCCUGUAAUACCAGCUAUUCAGGAGGCUGAGGCUGGAGAAUUGCUUGAACCUGGGAGGCCGNNNNNNNNNNNNNNNNNNNNGGCCACCAUUAUAAAUCCCACAGCCCAGGAGGCCUAAACCACAGACAUUGAUUCUCCCACAGUCCUGGAGGCUGGAGGUCUGAGAUCCAGGUGUGGGCAGGGCUGGUUCCUCCUGAGGCCUCUCUCUCGGGCUUGGAGACGCUGUCUUCUCCCUGUGUCCUCACAGGGUCAACCCUCUGUCUGUGUCUGUGUCCUCGUCUCCUCUUCUUAUAAGGGCACCAGUCCUAUUGGAUCCGGACUCUCCCUAGUGACCUAAUUUGACCUGAAUCACGUCUUUAAAGACCCCAGCUCCAAAUACAGUCCCAUUGAACUUUAGGGCUUCGAUAUGUGAUUUUGGAGAGUAGAGAUAAAACAGUCUAGAAUCCCAGAGCGAUUUUACCAUACCAUGGCAAACUGACUCUCAACUUUAGAAACACAAAUGCUGAAAAAAAAACUAAGGAAAUUUUGAAAAAGAAGGUGAAUGAAGGAGAACCUGCCUUACCUAUAUCAAAAGGCACUGAAAAGUUCAUACCCAACGUGCGGAUUGCUAUAAGAAUACACAAGUAGGCCGGGCGCAGUGGCUCACGGCUGUCAUCCCAGCACUUUGGGAGGCCGAGGCGGGCGGAUCACGAGGUCAGGAGAUCGAGACCAUCCCGGCUAACACGGUGAAACCCCGUCACUACUAAAAAUAUAAAAAAUUAGCCGGGCGUGGUGGCUGGUGCCUGUAGUCCCAGCUACUCGGGAGGCUGAGGCAGGGGAAUGGCUUGAACCUGGGAGGCAGAAGCUUGCAGUGAGCCGAGAUCGCGCCCCUGCACUCCAGCCUGGGCGACAGAGCGAGACUCUGUCUCAAAAUAAACAAAAACAAAAGCAAACAAAACGAAGAAUACACAAGUAGAUUAAUGAAAUGUGGCCGGGUGUGGUGGUGAGGCAGGAGAAUUGCUUGAACCCGAGACAUGGAGGUUGCAGUGAGCUGAGAUCGCACCACUGAACUCUAGCCUGGGCAAGCGGAGUGAGGCCCUGUCUUAAACAAAAAAACAAAGAAACAAAAAACAAACAAACAAGAAAAAAAAGCAAAACAAACAGAAAAAUAUUUCCCUAAUAUUUACUGCUAAGUGGGAUUAUUUUUAUUCAAGCUUUUGUAUCUUUAGAAAAAAAUUGUGGCCGGGCGGGGUGCCUCAUGCCUGUCAUCCCAGCACUUUGAGAGGCCGAGGCGGGUGGAUCACGACGUCAGGAGAUCGAGACCAUCCUGGCUAACACGGUGAAACCCCGUCUCUACUAAAAAUACAAAAAAAUUAGCUGGGCGUGGUGGCGGGCACCUGUAGUCCCAGCUACUUGGAAGGCUGAGGCAGGAGAAUGGCGUGAACCCGGGAGGUGGAGCUUGCAG